GACGAACGCUGGCGGCGUGCUUAACACAUGCAAGUCGAACGGAAAGGCCCUGCUUUUGUUGGGUGCUCGAGUGGCGAACGGGUGAGUAACACGUGAGUAACCUGCCCUUGACUUUGGGAUAACUUCAGGAAACUGGGGCUAAUACCGGAUAGGAGCUCCUGCUGCAUGGUGGGGGUUGGAAAGUUUCGGCGGUUGGGUAUGGACUCGCGGCGUAUCAGCUUGUUGGUGGGGUAGUGGCUUACCAGGGAUGUGACGGGUAGCCGGCCUGAGAGGGUGACCGGCCACAUGGGGACUGAGAUACGGCCCAGACUACUACGGGAGGAAGCAGUGGGGAAGAUUGCACAAUGGGCGGAAGCCUGAUGAAGCAACGACGCGGGGGGGAUGACGGCCUUCGGGUUGUAAACCGCUUUCGCCUGUGAAGAAGAGUGAGUGACGGUAAUGGGUAAAGAAGCACCGGCUAACUACGUG
rnacentral:rRNA from 1 species